CUCUGAAGGCAGCUCGAGCUUGGGUGCUCCUUUUAUCGAAUUCCUAUCAGACCAUCCGUUUCAUAAGCCUACGUCAUAACACGUCGUGUAUAAUUUUGUAUAGACAGCCUGAUGAAAUACAGAGCCUGGAUAGCCCCAACCACCUCAGUCGUAUGCAUCAUAGAACAUGGAGGUCGAAAAGCAGUCAGGCCCAUUCUAUUUCCUCUUCUCUCUCAACUCUAAUCCCGUGUCGAAGCGCAUCUCGAUCCCCACCGGCCACCGCCUCCGCUCUGGCCGGCCCCGCCGCAACUCCCCGACCUGUGGCGCUCCCGCGACUCCCCGACCGACGACGCCACCAGCCGCCGCCGCCCUGACGAGGUCGCGGUUGCUAUCGGCGUCUCCCUGCUAGGCCCUCUCCCCGCGGCCAGAGGAGCUCGUGGUUGUGCGCGUGAGGCUCGCUCGGUCCGUGCCCAUGGCUGUGGUGCGCGCCCCCACGUCGUCCGCAUCAGGUGCUAGCAGGGACGGAGCAGGUCGGCGCUGCUGUCUUGGAUAACCUGACCCCAUUCCAGUAGAGGCGAAUAAUGCUGAUCAACAUCACAGAAUGCAUCAUGGCAUGGAUUUCUCAUUUGAGCUGUCAUCUUGAGCCAUAAUUUGCGGUAGAUGUGGUGGCAGUAAUGAAUUACUCAAAUAUUGCAUCUAUCCCAAACCAAUUUGUCAAACAGGGGUUUACCGUAAACUCUUGCUGGCUGGAUAAUAUUGAUAACCACGGAUGAAUGAUAUUACACAAAGUAAUGAUGAUGCAAGGGAGCGCAUCCAGUUUUGCUGAAGAUCGCCUCCACGCUGCUAACAUUGAACUUACCAUGUUGGAUUAAGCAAUGCUGCCACACUUGUGUAGAUGCCCGAACAUGUAAAUUAUGUCUAAAUCCAUUAGUAGUACUAUAUCAAAACUCCAAGAUCCCCAGAGCCUGCAAUCUUUACGUUCACUGCUGGACAAUCUCAUCUAAAUCAAAGACAUCCCUGUUCAACUGUUUUA